UACUGUACACUCAAGAACCUUUUUCGUGUCCUCAAGUGUUACUAAAAUGCUACUCCUGUUGUUGAUUCGCAACACCUGUUGGUCGCCUCCACCCACGCGCAGCCCUGAAACACCUUCUGCGACUCCUCAGCCUGCCACCCUCCUCACCUGAAACUCAUCCUGGCAUAAGAGGCAGGUUUCUGCACCCAUCUCCAUGGAAACAGGGAAGACGGCGGUCGUACGUUUGUCAGUUCGCUUGAGCUUCGUUCCGGCAGACUCUGCUUCAGCCGUUGGAUCCCUGACACCAAACAUUCACAGUCACUCCCCCAAUGAAUAAUAAUACAAUGAAAAUAACUUGAAGAAAACA